GGAUCUCUGCCCCGGGUGCGUCGCAGCCCCGGACCAAGGCGCCCGCCGGAGGACCAACCAAAACUCUUAUUGUAUACCCCCUCGCGGGUUUUUUUUAUAAUCUGAGCCUUCUCGNCGCCUCUCGUAGGCGUUUCGAAAAUGAAUCAAAACUUUCAACAAGGGAUCUCUUGGUUCUGGCAUCGAUGAAGAACGCAGCGAAAUGCGAUAAGUAAUGUGAAUUGCAGAAUUCAGUGAAUCAUCAAAUCUUUGAACGCACAUUGCGCCCGCCAGUAUUCUGGCGGGCAUGCCUGUCCGAGCGUCAUUUCAACCCUCGAACCCCUCCGGGGGGUCGGCGUUGGGGAUCGGCCCUGCCUUGGCGGUGGCCGUCUCCGAAAUACAGUGGCGGUCUCGCCGCAGCCUCUCCUGCGCAGUAGUUUGCACACUCGCAUCGGGAGCGCGGCGCGUCCACAGCCGUUAAACACCCAACUUCUGAAAUGUUGACCUCGGAUCAGUAGGAAUACCCGCUGAACUUAAGCAUAUCA
rnacentral:rRNA from 1 species